rnacentral:tRNA from 6 species
UGGGCCGUCGCCAAGUGGUAAGGCACCGGGUUUUGAUCCCGGCAUUCGCAGGUUCGAAUCCUGCCGGCCCAGCCA